rnacentral:misc_RNA from 1 species
UCUCUCCAAUCAAGAUUCACAUUUACCAUAUCUCCAUUGCUUAUUGCUUUCUUUAAUGUCUCACCAAAGCUUUUCUCGAUAAGUGCAGAUGGUAUGGUUAUGUUCUCGAUAUAUUGUGCAGAAGAACCAUCCUCUUGAGGUGAAUCCAUCGUUAUUAACGGUUCCUCAAUGUCAUCUGCAACAAGUACUGCAGAAGCCCCUGCCUUCUGGGCAUUCCAAACUUUCAAAGCAAAGAAGCAGUCUCCACGAUCGA